UACGGAGGGGGGCUAGCGUUGUUCGGAAUUACUGGGCGUAAAGCGCGCGUAGGCGGCUUUGUAAGUUAGAGGUGAAAGCCCGGAGCUCAACUCCGGAACUGCCUUUAAGACUGCAUCGCUAGAAUUGUGGAGAGGUAAGUGGAAUUCCGAGUGUAGAGGUGAAAUUCGUAGAUAUUCGGAAGAACACCAGUGGCGAAGGCGACUUACUGGACACAUAUUGACGCUGAGGUGCGAAAGCGUGGGGAGCAAACAGGG
rnacentral:rRNA from 1 species